GAUGAACGCUAGCGGGAGGCUUAACACAUGCAAGUCGAGGGGCAGCAUAGGGUAGCAAUACUCUGGAUGGCGACCGGCAAACGGGUGAGUAACGCGUAUGUAACCUACCCUGUACAGGGGGAUAACCCGGAGAAAUUCGGACUAAUAUCCCAAUAACAAUAUCCGGGGGCAUCUUUGGAUAUUUAAAGUUCCGGCGGUACGGGAUGGGCAUGCGUAACAUUAGCUAGUUGGUAAGGUAACGGCUUACCAAGGCUUUGAUGUUUAGGGGUCCUGAGAGGGUGGUCCCCCACACUGGUACUGAGACACGGACCAGACUCCUACGGGAGGCAGCAGUGAGGAAUAUUGGUCAAUGGGCGCAAGCCUGAACCAGCCAUCCCGCGUGCAGGAAGACGGCGCUAUGCGUUGUAAACUGCUUUUCCAGGGAGAGAAACUUGCGCACGUGUUGCGCAAUUGACGGUACCCUGGGAAUAAGCAUCGGCUAACUCCGUG
rnacentral:rRNA from 1 species